CUCAUCCUGUGAGACGAUCGCCAUGUUUGCUGUGAGAGCAGUUUGCCUCCUCGCCACCAUCGCUAUGCUUGCUGCAGUGGUUGAUCUGGACGCUGAGAACCGUGUCUGUUAUACUGGCUUCUGGUGUACAGACAACUAAAGAUGAAGAGAUGUCAAGCAUCCAUAGGAGACUUUAAUCACUAAAAACCCUGUGUAGUCAAUUUUAAUAAAAUAGUCAUGCAUACCUA